CUCUGAGAGACCAGUGUAUGGAAAAGUAUUCUGGCUUCUCUGUCUCAAUAGUUAAUUUCAUUCUACCUUUAAAAUCAAAGUGCCGCUACACAAUAAAGUUCAUGGAAUAGUCUUUUGAUGUCUUGAAUACUUAGCACUUUCUCUGGCAUUAUAAAAUAACUUUAUAGGGCAGUUAAUCAAGUGACAGUAAGAGGCAUACUCUACAGAGAGCUCAUUUUGAUAUUUAAUACGAUGAAUACUGAUCUCCAAAGUUGAAGGCAGUCUCAUUUGCAUAUGUACAUAGGAUGCCAGUACUCCAUCAAAGCAGUUAACUAUCAGUCAAAAUGUGACAUGCCCUGCUAAAUCAAGGAACUGACAAAAGACAGAUCCAUUCCACUCAAUAUCUAUUCAACUUUCAUGUUUACAGUUCUGUAGCAGUCUCUGGGAAAAAGCAGUAAAGGAAGCAGGAUGGUACUUCCUAUCUCUCAGGAGAGCACAAACCUCAGGAUUUCCUGACAAGGAUUACCUCGAAAAUUAGCCAUUAAGAGAAGCUAAGAAGAAAAAAUAACAUACCUGGUAAUUUCAAGACCCCACAGCAUUAAGGAAGUUCAUGGAGAAGUUUCUAAAGGAACUCUGGAUACCACAAUGAUCCUACUUCCUCUAUUGUUUUCUCUCAUGCUAUGCAAUAAAGUUGCAAUGCUUCAAAAAUUUACAUCAGCACAUCUCAGUGGAAGCAUGAUUCUGGAAACAGAGGAAACCAAGCUUUCUACAGUUGAACCACAUCUAUCAACCUUGAAGAAAUGUAGAAGAACAACAGCAACAACAGCAAAAUCUAACCGCACA